rnacentral:rRNA from 1 species
CCUACGGGCGGCAGCAGUGAGGAAUAUUGGUCAAUGGGCGCGAUCCUGAACCAGCCAAGUAGCGUGAAGGAUGACUGCCCUACGGGUUGUAAACUUCUUUUAUCAAGGAAUAAAGUGAGGCACGUGUGCCUUUUUGCAUGUACUUUAUGAAUAAGGAUCGGCUAACUCCGUGCCAGCAGCCGCGGUAAUACGGAGGAUCCGAGCGUUAUCCGGAUUAUUGGGUUUAAAGGGAGCGUAGAUGGGUUGUUAAGUCAGUUGUGAAAGUUUGCGGGUCAACCGUAAAAUUGCAAUUGAUACUGGCAGUCUUGAGUACAGUUGAGGUAGGCGGAAUUCGUGGUGUAGCGGUGAAAUGCUUAGAUAUCACGAAGAACCCCGAUUGCGAAGGCAGCUUACUAACCUGAGACUGACAUUGAUGCUCGAAAGUGUGGGUAUCAAACAGGAUUAGAUACCCCAGUAGUC